GAUGAAUGCUGGCGGCGUGCCUAACACAUGCAAGUCGAGCGGCAGCGCAGUCUUCGGACUGGCGGCGAGCGGCGGACGGCUGAGUAACGCGUGGGAACGUACCCCAAAGUGAGGAAUAACUGCCCGAAAGGGUAGCUAAUGCCGCAUAUGGUCUUCGGAUUAAAGGAUUUAUCCGCUUUGGGAACGGCCUGCGUACGAUUAGAUUGUUGGUGAGGUAAUGGCUCACCAAGUCGACGAUCGUUAACUGGUCUGAGAGGAUGAUCAGUCAGGCUGGAACUGAGACACGGUCCAGACUCCUACGGGAGGCAGCAGUGAGGAAUCUUCCACAAUGGGCGAAAGCCUGAUGGAGCAACGCCGCGUGCAGGAUGAAGGCCUUCGGGUCGUAAACUGCUUUUAUAAGUGAAGAAUAUGACGGUAACUUAUGAAUAAGCACCGGCUAACUACGUGCCAGCAGCCGCCGUAA
rnacentral:rRNA from 1 species